ensembl:snoRNA SNORA72 Small nucleolar RNA SNORA72
AUUUUAAUUUUUGUGGGUACAACAUUCACUAUAUUAAGAUCAUGCACGUGUCCUCAAACCUAGUUCUUUUCCUAAGUCUAGUUUUAUAAAUGCUAAUGAUGAAC